rnacentral:rRNA from 1 species
AUUGAACGCUGGCGGCAUGCUUUACACAUGCAAGUCGAACGGCAGCGGGGGCUUCGGCCUGCCGGCGAGUGGCGAACGGGUGAGUAAUGCAUCGGAACGUGCCCAUGUCGUGGGGGAUAACGUAGCGAAAGCUACGCUAAUACCGCAUACGUCCUGAGGGAGAAAGCGGGGGAUCUUCGGACCUCGCGCGAUUGGAGCGGCCGAUGUCGGAUUAGCUAGUAGGUGAGGUAAAGGCUCACCUAGGCGACGAUCCGUAGCGGGUCUGAGAGGAUGAUCCGCCACACUGGGACUGAGACACGGCCCAGACUCCUACGGGAGGCAGCAGUGGGGAAUUUUGGACAAAGGGCGCAAGCCUGAUCCAGCCAUGCCGCGUGAGUGAAGAAGGCCUUCGGGUUGUAAAGCUCCUUCGGCCGGGAAGAAAUCGUGUUCUCUAACAUAGGACAUGGAUGACGGUACCGGACUAAGAAGCACCGGCUAACUACGUGCCAGCAGCCGCCGUAA